CAGUCGCCGCGGUAAUACGGAGGGUGCAAACGUUGCUCGGAAUUACUGGGCGUAAAGCGUGCGCAGGCGGUUAUAUAAGUCAGAUGUGAAGUCCCCGGGCUUAACCUGGGAACUGCAUUUGUGACUGGCGAGCUAGAGUAUGGCAGAGGGGGGUAGAAUUCCACGUGUAGCAGUGAAAUGCGUAGAUAUUCGGAAGAACACCAGUGGCGAAGGCGGCUCACUGGACGACUGUUGACGCUGAGGUACGAAAGCGUGGGGAGCAAACAGGAUUAGAUACCCCGGUAGUCCCUGUCUCUUAUAC
rnacentral:rRNA from 1 species